GUGGGAGGGGGCUUGCCCCCGAUGAGGGAGUGUCAGUUGAUGGAUUUGGUACUGACCCACUGCAAUCGGGGGCAAGCCCCCUCCCAC
rnacentral:ncRNA from 2 species